rnacentral:rRNA from 1 species
CCUACGGGCGGCAGCAGUGGGGAAUAUUGGGCAAUGGGCGCAAGCCUGACCCCGCAACGCCGCGUGAAGGAAGACGGCUUUCGGGUUGUAAACUUCUUUUCUCAGGGACGAAGAAAGUGACGGUACCUGAGGAAUAAGCCACGGCUAACUACGUGCCAGCAGCCGCGGUAAUACGGAGGUGGCAAGCGUUAUCCGGAUUUACUGGGUGUAAAGGGCGUGUAGGCGGGGAAGCAAGUCAGAUGUGAAAACCACGGGCUCAACCUGUGGCCUGCAUUUGAAACUGGUUUUCUUGAGUACUGGAGAGGCAGACGGAAUUCCUAGUGUAGCGGUGAAAUGCGUAGAUAUUAGGAGGAACACCAGUGGCGAAGGCGGUCUGCUGGACAGCAACUGACGCUGAGGCGCGAAAGCGUGGGGAGCAAACAGGAUUAGAUACCCUUGUAGUC